AAAAGUAAACGGAAGAUUAACUCUGUUAACAUUCUCAAAAUAAAAAUUGAGUUUCUAACGAUUGACCCUCUGUAAUGAAACCCUGCAAUCCGAUUCAUUCGUAACCCUAAGCAUAUGCCAUAGCCCUGAACCCAUGAUCAAAACAUCGGGAGAGUUUCUAUUUUGCUUGAAUGUUGUAACCAAAUCGGUCAAAUUGGAUUCGUACGGAGCCCAUACAAAAUCCAAUUUCAUCCCAAUCUCAUCAACAUAGUCCGAUAAUCAUUGUGCCUCCUAAAGAGAUCGUUUUUCACUGACUCAACAGCUUGGGGUUUCAUUGCCAAACCCAAAAGUGAUAGAGCGAAGAAUCGUGACUGUGAGUCACCAGUGAAUACAACCCAUGACCCGUUUAGGAGAUCCGAAGCGUCGGAUGAAUGAGUUUCCGAAAGUCACAGGCCGAAACGUCGGUGUGGGAGAACCAAGUCCAGGACUUUUCGUAUUGGGAAGUGUUGGGAUGAGUGUGGGCGACAUUCCAAACAACGUCGUGGAGAAGAGAGAAAGAUGAGUGUCGGCUGUCGAAGAUGACGACGGAAGAGACAUGAGUGUUGGAGCUUGCACUUUGCCCAGUAAGUCGCUUGAUUUUUCAGGCUGCAAAUGUUAAGCUCCUUCUUUUCUGUGGUGUCGGUUGCCAAGUGCAAGAGUAAUUUCUUAAACUGCAACAUUAAGAGCUGUGGAGCACCACUUAAAUUUGGAAAAGCUCUAUGUGCUGGGAACUAAUUGUGGUAGUUAUCUUCAGCUGAGAUCCUUAAUUCAGUUACUCUGUAAGAAAUGUGUUAUCUGGUGUUGAUUGGAUUAGCUUAACUAAUUGCUGAAGAUUUAAGUGUCGAUGUUGAAGAAAAUUACAUACUCGAAAACUAUUGCAUUUAAUGAGAAUAUGUUCUAACCAAAAAUUCAAUAUUUUUGCCUGUAAAAUGAGAUGAAUCUUCUUUGGUUCAUACUUAAUCAUGACUUGAAAAAAAUUGAAGAUUUUGGAGUUCUUAAUUGUUUAGCUUAAUUUAAUUUGGAUUUCUCCUCAUUUUGUUUUUUGUUAUUGCAAAUGUUGUCAAAUGUAUUUUUUUAUGUAAAGUUUUCUGCUUUUUCAUUGUUUGACUCUUAUGAUUUUCAGUUGCAGGGUCUAAUUGUUGGUUUGCCCUUGUUAGUUAUUCAAUAUAUACAAUUAAAAUAUCUUAGUAAUAUUUAGAUAGGAGCAUAGUAGUUUAUCUUUAAAAUUAUCAUACUAAUGUUAUCUCAUUGUACUUCUAACUAGCAGGCACGCAUUCAAUUUCAAACUUUUGCCUAAAUUUGCUGGAAAUUUUGGUUUUACUUAGUAUUCUGCUCACUUCAAUGUGUACUUUUUUCUUUUGUUCUUUUCAAAUUUUUAUUACUUAGGUUAACCUCUCUUCUCUCUCACUCUCUCAUAUAGAUCACUAUCAUUGGAUCUCUUAACUUUAGGAUUUUGACCCUUUAAUUUCGAUAGAGUUUAAUUACAGUCAUGAUUUGUUUCAAGUUUAUUAAAGCUAGAGUUAUUGAUAUUUAUGAUUGAACUUGGUUUUUUUUUUCUUGACUUGGAAUAUCAAAAUAAAUUUUUUUGCUCUUUCUAAUUGUUUAAUGAACAAGAAGCUUUGAAAUAAUUCUGAAUUGUUUAUGGGUUUGAAUUUCAUAAUGUAUAAUAAGAUUUAUGUGUGAAUUUUGUUUAUGGUUAAUUAGUAGCCAUUCUACUUUUUCCCAGCUAUUGAAAUAGCCAUUUAUAUAAUUUUGUUUAUAGAAAUUAAUUUCUCUCAUUUUAUGCCUUGCUUACUUUAAUUGAGUAAUUUUUUUCUAUAUUCAAAACAUUAAGGGACUUUAAUUGCUUUUAUCAUGAGUAGAAUAAUAUUUGGUUAUGCUUAAUUGCUUAUCCACUUAUGAGUGCAAAUGCUGGUCUUUUAUACAGAUUUAUUAAUAAUUACAUUAUUAAUUAUUUCAAAAUCGUUUUUGUGUCUCUGGAUUUUGGGUGCUAUGAUUACUGUAUUGGCGAUGAUAACUGUAGAUAACUUUCUUUCUUGGUACGAAAACUUGGGUUCUUCUUAUGUGAGUGUAUCUCCUUCUUUCUUUGGUAGUUAUAUUAUUGAAUUUGGAUUUAUAUUGUUAAGGAUUAUCAUUGUAGAACAAAGUUAACUUGGCAUGUGUAUAUAUUUAUGAUGUGACCAAUAUCUUUAAAUAAUUUGUAUAAUUAUUUGUUUUUGAAAGCAUUUUGUAUUAUUUUUUUUUUAUAUAAUUUGUACAAUGCUAUAAAGAUGUAUUAUUUGUUUUUUUCAAAAAAAGUUGGGUUCAUAAAAUUUUUAACGGAACAAAAUAUAAGAAUGGUGAAAAAACUUAAAAAUAUGAUACAGAGAUAUUGAUAUAAAUAUAUCUUAUCUUUAAUAAAGUAGCAAAGAGGGAAAUUCGAAACCCACAAGAGGAAGAAAAAGCAUGAGUAGUCCAGUGUUCUCCGCAAGAUUAGGUAAUUUUAAAUGACCUUGAUGAGUAGAAUAAUGCUAAGGAUAUCUCAACUUGUGUUUUUAAAUUGAGUAGGUUUUAGCCUUAUAACAUUAAAUUUCUUUUCAUCACAUAAUCGUUAUGAAACUAAUAAUUUUGUUGUAUUUUUUUUCAGCUUCUUGAAAAUUAAAUUUGUAACAAGGUUAGACUAUGCAUCAUGUGAAAAUAUUAAUUUAUUUUGGUUUCAAUUUUCCAUUUUUACAAAUUAAGCAUAUAACUAAGUAUACGUGCAUUGCACGUAACUUCUACCUAGUAUAUAUAUAUAUAUAUACUUAUUUUUCACAAGAAAUAUUUUUUUUUUUUGGUAAAAUUCCUC